rnacentral:tRNA from 1 species
UAGAGAGUAGUAUAGUGGGAGUACGGUGGGUUUUGAUUUCUCAGGUGCAGGUUCAAUUCCUGUCUCUCUAA